rnacentral:tRNA from 1 species
GCCGUGUGGCUCAGUUGGUAGAGCAUGGUGUUUGCAACGCCAGGGUUGUGGGUUCGAUUCCCACGGCG